rnacentral:rRNA from 1 species
ACACAUACAUGUAGAGCCAUAGCACAGGUGAGCUUGCUCCUUGGCUGACGAGCGGCGGACGGGUGAGUAAUGUCUGGGAAAUUGCCCGAUGGAGGGGGAUAACUGCUGGAAACGGUAGCUAAUACCGCAUACGGUCUCAAGAGCAAAGCAGGGGACCUUCGGGCCUUGUGCCAUCAGAUAUGCCCAGAUGGGAUUAGCUAGUAGGUGAGGUAAUGGCUCACCUAGGCGACGAUCCCUAGCUGGUCUGAGAGGAUGAUCAGCCACACUGGAACUGAGACACGGUCCAGACUCCUACGGGAGGCAGCAGUGGGGAAUAUUGCACAAUGGGGGCAAGCCUGAUGCAGCCAUGCCGCGUGUGUGAAGAAGGCCUUCGGGUUGUAAAGCACUUUCAGCGAGGAGGAAGGUUCUGUAGUUAAUAUG